GGAAUAUUGGACAAUGGGUGGAAGCCUGAUCCAGCCAUGCCGCGUGCAGGAAGACGGCCUUCUGGGUUGUAAACUGCUUUUGCCAGGGGGUAAAAAGGGCGUGCGCUCCCAACUGAAGGUACCUGGUGAAUAAGCCACGGCUACCUAUGUGCCAGCAGCCGCGGUAAUACGUAGGUGGCGAGCGUUGUCCGGAUUCAUUGGGUUUAAAGGGUGCGUAGGCGGCCUUGUAAGUCAGUAGUGAAAUAUCACAGCUUAACGGUGAGGGUGCGAUUGGUACUGCAGGGCUUGAGUACAGACGAGGUAGGCGGAAUUGACGGUGUAGCGGUGAAAUGCUUAGAUAUCGUCAAGAACACCGAUAGUGUAGACAGCUUACCAGGCUGUAACUGACGCUGAGGCACGAAAGUGUGGGGAUCAAAC
rnacentral:rRNA from 1 species